CCUUAGUUUUAGAAAAGUUAGUUCUAUAUUGUGUGCAUUGUUAUUAUGAACAUUAUUGUCAGAGCUGGUUGAACAAGUGAUGUGUGAAAUUGAACACUGCACGUCACAUUCAUUCAAGUUUUACUUUUAAAAAAAGAUCAAAAUAAACUUGUACAGUUGAACCAAAAUAGAACACUAUAUUACACAUCAUCUUUUACUUUUUCACUUUUUCUGUUUCAUUCUCUGCUUCAAAACCUCCCUGCUACAGAUGAAUUUGAAUUCCCACAAAAUAAGAUAGAGAUGUUUUAACAGUUCUGCUACAGUGUUAUCCAGCCUCCCUGGUGUAUCCACAGUGUAAAACGAAGGGUGUAAUUAAAAAAAAGGGUUCAGUGUCCUACAGCAAACAUGGACAUUGCGUGCAUGAGACAUUUAAUUAAAACAAACACCUGGAGAUGGGGACAAACCUACAUUUCCCCUCAGGACUUAGUAAAAUUAAUCAAAACUGUGUCAAAAUCCACCGGCCUGGGCUACGUUGGUACACUUUCAGAACAAAACAUUUAUUUAACAUUUAAACAAUUGUUUUACUUCGUUUUUUAAGCUAAUUUUAAAGUUAUUUCUAUGACACACUCCAAAAAUUGAGCACCUGAGCAAAUUAGCACAAAAGAAAUUCCUAUGUAAUAUUUUAGAAGGUUCCUCAGUCAGCACUCUCGCUGGAAGUUGUAAUGUAGUUCUCAGUAUUAAAUAGGCUUGUUAACAUGGGCUGCUAAUGCUAACUGCUGCUAAUUGUUUGACAUUGUUUUGUUUAGGAUAAAAACAAACUGGACUCCACAUGCCAGCGACGACUGAGAUUAUCCAGCCUUCUAUCUACCAGUUAUGUUCGCCAAAAGGGUGACACCCACCUCCACCAAAUGACUGCUGGGACUGCCUGCCUUCAGCUCCUGCAACUGUGAACAGAUUUUAGUGGUACAGUUACAUUUCAUAUCAAAUGUUCUGCUAUUCUUUCUCAGUUAUUUAAGUUUUUAUUGAUGUAUUUUGGCUACGUAGUAUAUGGGAAACCAGGAUUUAAAAUAUGCAAGAGUUAACAGAAAAUAAGGCCAGCAAUCAUAAAGUCAAAUAUUGGAUAACAGAUAGCACCCAAAAACUAACAUUUACCAAUAAUAAAGUUAGUAAAACGUAUAGAAAAGUGAGCAAACAAAAACUAAGACGCCAAAUUAAAUCAGAUGGCUAACAUAGCAAAAACUGAAAUUUGCCAGCAAAAAUAUAGAUUUACAUGAGCUAAUAUUUGGUUAGCCAAAAUUAAUAAACUAAAAACAAUGGAUUAGAAGAUGGAUUAGAGCUAUUAGAAAUGAACAUGUUUGUCCAAAAACUAAAAGCUAAAAGUUGACUUUUAGUUUGCCCCAAACUAAACUAGCUAAAGGUAGCAAAUAAAUUGUGAAAUCACAAUUAGCACAAAACAUUGCUACACAAAAAAACAUUGCAAAAUGUAGCUUAAUCAUGUCUCCCAAAAAUAAUUUGAAAAAUUGCAAAUGCUUAAAGUUUGGUUCACGAUUACUAAAAUUUGGGCAAAAUUAGUCGAAAAAAGUCAAGGACAGAACAAAAGUAUUUGGAAAUGCUGAAAAGGUAACUGUUUUGUAGUCAAUAAAAUUAGUUAUGAGACAUCUUAAAGCCAACAAUCAACAAGUUUAAAAAAAAAAAAAAACUUUGUGUAAACAAAAGGUACACAGUUGAAAAACAAAAUAUUGAAAAGAGUGGUGACGUUUUUUAAUUAAUAAUACAACCACAUUUUGGGGGGGAAAAAAUCCUGAACUAUACCUUAAAAAAAUGCCUUGUAUUUCUGUCAACAUCUUUCAUUAUUGCAAUCAAAUACAUUUGUAAAGAUGAAAAAAAAAAAAAA